CGCUGGCGGCGUGCUUAACACAUGCAAGUCGAACGGUAAGGCCCUUCGGGGUACACGAGUGGCGAACGGGUGAGUAACACGUGGGUGAUCUGCCCUGCACUUUGGGAUAAGCCUGGGAAACUGGGUCUAAUACCGAAUACACCCUGCUGGUCGCAUGGCCUGGUGGGGGAAAGCUUUUGCGGUGUGGAUGGGCCCGCGGCCUAUCAGCUUGUUGGUGGGGUGAUGGCCUACCAAGGCGACGACGGGUAGCCGGCCUGAGAGGGUGACCGGCCACACUGGGACUGAGAUACGGCCCAGACUCCUACGGGAGGCAGCAGUGGGGAAUAUUGCACAAUGGGCGCAAGCCUGAUGCAGCGACGCCGCGUGAGGGAUGACGGCCUUCGGGUUGUAAACCUCUUUCAAUAGGGACGAAGCGCAAGUGACGGUACCUAUAGAAGAAGGACCGGCCAACUACGUGCCAGCAGCCGCGGUAAUACGUAGGGUCCGAGCGUUGUCCGGAAUUACUGGGCGUAAAGAGCUCGUAGGUGGUUUGUCGCGUUGUUCGUGAAAACUCACAGCUUAACUGUGGGCGUGCGGGCGAUACGGGCAGACUGGAGUACUGCAGGGGAGACUGGAAUUCCUGGUGUAGCGGUGGAAUGCGCAGAUAUCAGGAGGAACACCGGUGGCGAAGGCGGGUCUCUGGGCAGUAACUGACGCUGAGGAACGAAAGCGUGGGGAGCGAACAGGAUUAGAUACCCUGGUAGUCCACGCCGUAAACGGUGGGUACUAGGUGUGGGUUUCCUUCCUUGGGAUCCGUGCCGUAGCUAACGCAUUAAGUACCCCGCCUGGGGAGUACGGCCGCAAGGCUAAAACUCAAAGAAAUUGACGGGGGCCCGCACAAGCGGCGGAGCAUGUGGAUUAAUUCGAUGCAACGCGAAGAACCUUACCUGGGUUUGACAUGCACAGGACGCCGGCAGAGAUGUCGGUUCCCUUGUGGCCUGUGUGCAGGUGGUGCAUGGCUGUCGUCAGCUCGUGUCGUGAGAUGUUGGGUUAAGUCCCGCAACGAGCGCAACCCUUGUCUCAUGUUGCCAGCACGUAAUGGUGGGGACUCGUGAGAGACUGCCGGGGUCAACUCGGAGGAAGGUGGGGAUGACGUCAAGUCAUCAUGCCCCUUAUGUCCAGGGCUUCACACAUGCUACAAUGGCCGGUACAAAGGGCUGCGAUGCCGUGAGGUGGAGCGAAUCCUUUCAAAGCCGGUCUCAGUUCGGAUCGGGGUCUGCAACUCGACCCCGUGAAGUCGGAGUCGCUAGUAAUCGCAGAUCAGCAACGCUGCGGUGAAUACGUUCCCGGGCCUUGUACACACCGCCCGUCACGUCAUGAAAGUCGGUAACACCCGAAGCCGGUGGCCUAACCCCUCGGGGAGGGAGCCGUCGAAGGUGGGAUCGGCGAUUGGGACGAAGUCGUAACAAGGUA
rnacentral:rRNA from 1 species